rnacentral:lncRNA from 1 species
AUGUGUGACGCUAAUCUUCAGGAUGCUGUGAAAAUAGUUUUAUUUUGUUACCUGCUCUAUCAGAUCACUAAUAUUCUGAAAAUGGAUUCACAUGACAGUAGGAAGCUGUCAGGAAGCAAGGAGCUGAAGAUCACAAGGACGACUAAUUACAACAGGAAACAGGUUCGAAUUUGCCUUGGAGGCCAUUUAUCUGUGUUUGAAAGACAAACCAGAAGGAAAAUAGAAGACACUUUACAGCUUUGUGGAUCCUUUGGGUACAAUAGACAAUGUAAUUAAAUUGGUAAUUCCAAGAACACUGCAGUUAUUUUUGGAACAAUUUUUCUCAGGUCUAUAAUAAUACAAAUAAAAAAUCCCAUCCCUGAAUUCA